AUGGAUUGGGCGGCGUGCUAUACAUGCAAGUCGAGCGGACAGAUGGGAGCUUGCUCCCUGAUGUUAGCGGCGGACGGGUGAGUAACACGUGGGUAACCUGCCUGUAAGACUGGGAUAACUCCGGGAAACCGGGGCUAAUACCGGAUGGUUGUCUGAACCGCAUGGUUCAGACAUAAAAGGUGGCUUCGGCUACCACUUACAGAUGGACCCGCGGCGCAUUAGCUAGUUGGUGAGGUAACGGCUCACCAAGGCGACGAUGCGUAGCCGACCUGAGAGGGUGAUCGGCCACACUGGGACUGAGACACGGCCCAGACUCCUACGGGAGGCAGCAGUAGGGAAUCUUCCGCAAUGGACGAAAGUCUGACGGAGCAACGCCGCGUGAGUGAUGAAGGUUUUCGGAUCGUAAAGCUCUGUUGUUAGGGAAGAACAAGUGCCGUUCAAAUAGGGCGGCACCUUGACGGUACCUAACCAGAAAGCCACGGCUAACUACGUGCCAGCAGCCGCGGUAAUACGUAGGUGGCAAGCGUUGUCCGGAAUUAUUGGGCGUAAAGGGCUCGCAGGCGGUUUCUUAAGUCUGAUGUGAAAGCCCCCGGCUCAACCGGGGAGGGUCAUUGGAAACUGGGGAACUUGAGUGCAGAAGAGGAGAGUGGAAUUCCACGUGUAGCGGUGAAAUGCGUAGAGAUGUGGAGGAACACCAGUGGCGAAGGCGACUCUCUGGUCUGUAACUGACGCUGAGGAGCGAAAGCGUGGGGAGCGAACAGGAUUAGAUACCCUGGUAGUCCACGCCGUAAACGAUGAGUGCUAAGUGUUAGGGGGUUUCCGCCCCUUAGUGCUGCAGCUAACGCAUUAAGCACUCCGCCUGGGGAGUACGGUCGCAAGACUGAAACUCAAAGGAAUUGACGGGGGCCCGCACAAGCGGUGGAGCAUGUGGUUUAAUUCGAAGCAACGCGAAGAACCUUACCAGUCUUGACAUCCUCUGACAAUCCUAGAGAUAGGACGUCCCCUUUCGGGGGCAGAGUGACAGUGGUGCAUGGUUGUCGUCAGCUCGUGUCGUGAG
rnacentral:rRNA from 1 species